CAAUAGCGUAUAUUAAAGUUGUUGCGGUAAAAAAGCUCGUAGUUGGAUUUCUACCGAAGAUAGCCGGUCGGGUCUUCGACCUUGUAUCUGGUUUUGUCUUUGGUAUCCUCAUAGGGAACGUUUCUGCGCUUUAUUGCGUGGUGCGGUAUCUAUGACUUUUACUUUGAGGAAAUUAGAGUGUUCACGGCAGGCAAACGCCUUGAAUAUAUUAGCAUGGAAUAAUAACAUAGGAUCUUCGUCCUAUUUUGUUGGUUUCUAGGGCUAAGAUAAUGAUUAAUAGGGAUAACUGGGGGCAUCUGUAUCAACGCGUCAGAGGUGGAAUUCUUGGAUUGCGUUGCGACAAACUACUGCGAAAGCAUUUGCCAAGGAUGUUUUCAUUGA
rnacentral:rRNA from 1 species